GGGAGGGGCGGUGGGUGGGGACAGUGGCGUGGGUGGCUGUGUAACUGCGCCCCCAAAUAUAUCUCUCUCCUCACGAAUUUUCUGCGGGGUUCUUCUGGGCGCGGGGCGGGGGCUUCUCUGCAGCCCUUCUCCUGGCAUGUCCUUCUGGGAGUGUAGUAUGGUCAUACGUGGUAUAUGGGGGUUCGGGGCUACCUAAUCUGUGCAGGGCUGCCGCGAACUUCAGCCCCCGCCACGCCGGCGACCUGGACUUUGGCGACAUCGAUCGGUCUGCAGAUCGACCUUGUCCAGCCAAGGGGAAGCGACGGGUAGGGUCGUGCGCCCACCUGAGAUCCCGUCCGUCCGCCUGCCCAGGGCCCCCGCUGUGCCUUGAGGUCCUGGGGAAGAAGAAUCCAUUUCAUGGGACACCCCAGUGUCUGUGGGUUGUUGCCGGUUAGUACUUCCAUCUACCGACCUAUCAUCUGUCUGUCUAAAUGUCCACCUAACAUCUCUCCACCUUCUGUCAAUCAUUUUGCACUAUUCUCAACUGAGCCUUUCAGUGGCUUGGUGCACCAUAAACUCUUUAUAGGGCCCAGAGUAUGAUAUUGUACAGUUCAUUAGUGCAGCCACUCGAUGAUGGAGCUCCCAGAACUCUCCUGUGGCUUUCAGGUUGAUAAAUGAAGCCUAAAUGCAGCUCCAUAGUGCCCUGACUGUGAGAUGGCUGAGCACGGGCAGAACAUGCUGGCUGAGGGCCAGCAGGGCACGGUGCAGAGCUGCACCUGAGGAAGGAAUGGGCAGCUGGAGAAUGGACCCAUGGCUCUCCUUGCUCCAGGGCUGUUCCAUACCAAGCAAGCGCCGGCGGCCCUGGCGCAGCAUUCACGGCUGGAGUGCAGAGCACACCCACAGACUGCAGAGCCCGGAGGAGAAUUCCCUCAUCGUGCCCGCUUGUGCCCACGUUAAGAUGGUCCCCUCGAAUUUACAUGGUGGGUGGCUGGACGGCCAGGCUGGAAGUGAAGUGUGCACCUUGACUCUGGUGUCCUAGUAUUGUUGGUGGGAAGUUUCUAGGUCCUUACAGGAAUGAGGCUCUGCCUUCUUCAGAGUAGCCACAUGACCAAUGCAGAUCCUUCAGCCCUGGUCAUCAUUACCAGGAGGACAUCCUGGUACCGAGUCAGCAGGUGGUGACUGACCCAGCUGGUGUGUCUUGCUCUACAGGCCAUCAGGUCCUGAGGGCUUCGCUGGUAUUCCUCCUGCUUAUUUCCUUUGAACCGACCUCCUCCAGUAAACCCAGAAAGCCUGUCUAUUAUCCGUCUCCACUGGGGCUGGUGACUCUGACUGUGGUGACAGCCAUCGCUGACCACACACUGGCUGGCUGACUAGCCCCACAUUGACUGAAGAAAUUAUGUGGGAGCACCUUGCCUUUGUUGAAACCUCUUCAUCUGCUUAGACUUCAUCCAUGUUAAAUAUUAAAUCAGUGUGUGCCCUCUAAAACCUCCAGCUAAAUAAACACGUUGGGAAAUGGCGUGGA